ACUUGCUUCCCGGCUUUGCUACAUUCUUGAAAAUCUUAUAAGCAGCGGCUUUUGCUUCCCACUCACUAGUAAUCUCUUUGUCCUGCUCACCCUCCUCCUCAUCACACUGAUCGAGUGCGUUGUAGAGAGUAGACAACCCUGUACCUGUAAUCACAUUAAUCAAUCCUUUCAUGGUCCAAGCAGAAACCUUCUCGUGCUUCAUCCUCUUAAGCUUAUCCACAUCAAUCACCUCUUCUUUAUUCUCUUCAUUUUGCUUCUUCAAAUUGCUAAAACUCAGCUGGCCUGGCAUUUUAUUGCUGCUUCCAACCUUUUCAGCCAUCUCCAUCACAGGAGGACCGGAAAGAGCUUUAAGAACAUACUGAUGAAAGAUUGAUUCUUGAAUUCUAUCAAAGAAUCUAGUGACAUGAAAAGAAGAUGCUAACAAUUUAACUAACAAAGUUUUGAGCAACCAUAUAGCAGCCCCAAUAAAACAAGAAGCAAGAGCUCUUGUAAUAUGAUUUAGAAUCUUUGUAGUGUGCCUGGAUCGCUUAACUCCUCGAUUAAACAACAAGCCCCAAGCUAGAAGCACCAAACCCAACCAAAUAACGGCCUGAACACUCUUCUUCAAUCCAUAUACAAAAUAAAGCACCUUUUUCCUUAGCAAGAAGUUCCUUUCAAUCAAGAAAACCAAAAUAUUUAUAAACCACUCAGUGACUAAUCUACCACAGAAAAUAACUAAUAUCAGCACACACCAUUUCCAUAAUUGCAACCCCCAAACUGUAGAAUUCUGCAAUCUAUCAAUAGUCAAACCAGCAACUAACAACCCCAAAAAGCAAACAAAUGCAGUCAGCUCAAAUAAGAUCAAUAUUUUCCAUUUCUUACCCAUUGUUUUGCUCACUUUAAGACUUGCGGUCUUAUAUACCUCCUCAUCAUCCUCCUCAUCCGGUCCUGGGGUUCCAAUUAAUGGCGUUUUCGGGGUAAUUGGAGCAGAUUUCAAGCUAUCUUUCUGCGCGGACACGCUAACUGUGUUAGUUGGUGAAGCUGCAUUAGGUGAUGUACUAGAAGGCGAGCUUGAAUUCACCAACCGGAUCUUUUCUUCUUUUAAGUUUGCAUCAUUUGGAUAUGGUGGCUCUACCAAUCUUGAUUUUGGCUUCAAAAACUCAGAACGUGCAAGCGAUUUUCUUCGUGUAAUGGAAUCGGUGGUUGGGAUUUUUGGAGGCUUGUUUAGAGUUGGGGUAGGAACUGGGCUAUAUCUUGCUAUGUCUGAAGAAGAAGGAGAGGUUGCAAACGUGGAUGUUUGGAUCCUCAAACUUGAGUUCUCCAACUCUAUCAACUCAAGUUUUGAACGUUUUGGAGAAGAACCCAACUGGGAAUUCUUUGAAACAGUGUAAGCUUUCGUAUCUUUGGUUUCCUGAGAAGCAAAGCAAGAUUCUUGUGUCGUCGAAAUUUGAAGUACGACAUCGUUUGUUCCUUUCUUCUCCGCCUUGCCUCUGCCAGCUUCCAUUCUUGUUCUCUCUUCGCGAAAACCAAUUUCCUUAUUGCUAAAAUCUCAGCAUUCGACAAUCAUUUGUCCAAGAAAAAAAGUCUGCGGAAUCAACUUUCCAUUCCAGGGAAAAAUUGAAAAAAUUUUCAGGGAAAGUGAAUCACCUACAAUAAUUGGAGAAAGAGAACGGUGGAAUAGGUCUCAAAGAGAUCCGGCAACUAGAAAAACAAAGCAAGAGAGAAGAAG
rnacentral:misc_RNA from 1 species